AGGGCACCACCAGGAGUGGAGCCUGCGGCUUAAUUUGACUCAACACGGGAAAACUCACCCGGCCCGGACACUGGAAGGAUUGACAGAUUGAGAGCUCUUUCUUGAUUCAGUGGGUGGUGGUGCAUGGCCGUUCUUAGUUGGUGGAGUGAUUUGUCUGGUUAAUUCCGAUAACGAACGAGACUCUAGCCUAUUAAAUAGAUCGUUGGCUUACAAACGCCGGCGAGACUUCUUAGAGGGACAGGCGGCGAUUCAGCCGCACGAAACAGAGCAAUAACAGGUCUGUGAUGCCCUUAGAUGUCCGGGGCCGCACGCGCGCUACACUGAAGUGAUCAGCGUGCAUUUUGAAACCUACUCUGUCAAGAGUGGGGAACCCUAUGAACCUUCUUCGUGAUUGGGAUAGGGGAUUGUAAUUAUUCCCCUUGAACGAGGAAUUCCCAGUAAGCGCGAAUCAUAAGUUUGCGCUGAUUACGUCCCUGCCCUUUGUACACACCGCCCGUCGCUACUACCGAUUGAAUGUUU
rnacentral:rRNA from 1 species